CGAGCGGCAGUCCUUCGGGACGAGAGCGGCGAACGGGUGAGUAACACGUGAGUAAUCAACCUAUCGACUGGGGAUAGCCGUUGGAAACGACGGGUAAUACCGAAUACGAUCUGCGUUAUUAAGAUGCAGAUGAAAGGCGGGGAUCUUCGGACCUGUCGACGAUAGACGAGCUCGCGUCCCAUUAGCUGGUUGGCGGGGUAACGGCCCACCAAGGCGAUGAUGGGUAGGGGGUGUGAGAGCAUGGCCCCCCACACUGGGAUUGAGAUACGGCCCAGACUCCUACGGGAGGCAGCAGUGGAGAAUCUUGCACAAUGGGGGCAACCCUGAUGCAGCGACGCCGCGUGGACGAUGAAGGCCCUUCGGGUUGUAAAGUCCUUUUCUAUGGGGAGAAGAUGCGAAGUAGUAACUGACUUUGCAGUGACGGUACCAUAGGAAUCAGUCACGGCUAACUCUGUGCCAGCAGCCGCGGUAAUACAGAGGUGGCAAAUGUUGCUCGGAAUUACUGGGCGUAAAGGACGCGCAGGCGGACUGUUAAGUCAAGAGUGAAAACUUCCGGCUCAACCGGGAGCAUGCUUUUGAAACUGGCGGUCUUGAGACACGUAGGGGAUGACGGAACACCUGGAGUAGCGGUGAAAUGCGUAGAUAUCAGGUGGAACACCGGUGGCGAAGGCGGUCAUCUGGACGAGGUCUGACGCUGAGGCGUGAAAGCCGGGGGAGCAAACAGGAUUAGAUACCCUGGUAGUCCCGGCCCUAAACGGUGAGUGCUAGGUGUAGGGGGUUGAACCUCUGUGCCGCAGCUAACGCAGUAAGCACUCCGCCUGGGGAGUACGGUCGCAAGUCUGAAACUCAAAGGAAUUGACGGGGGCCCGCACAAGCGGUGGAGCAUGUGGUUUAAUUCGAAGCAACGCGAAGAACCUUACCAGGACUUGACAUCCUACGAAUCGUGUAGAGAUACAGGAGUGCCCCGCAAGGGGAAUGUAGAGACAGGUGGUGCACGGCUGUCGUCAGCUCGUGUUGUGAGAUGUUGGGUUAAGUCCCGCAACGAGCGCAACCCUUAUCUUCAGUUGCCAACAGUAAGAUGGGGACUCUGAAGAGACUGCCUGCGUAAGCAGGAGGAAGGUGGGGAUGACGUCAAGUCAUCAUGCCCUUUAUGUCCUGGGCGACACACGUGCUACAAUGGACGGCUCAAAGUGAAGCAAAGCGGCGACGUUAAGCGGAUCACAGAAAACCGUCCCUAGUUCGGAUUGCAGUCUGCAACUCGACUGCAUGAAGCUGGAAUCGCUAGUAAUCGCGCAUCAGCCAUGGCGCGGUGAAUACGUUCCCGGGCCUUGUACACACCGCCCGUCACACCACCCGAGUUGGUAUUACCCGAAGCGGCCGGCCUAACCGUAAGGAGGGAAG
rnacentral:rRNA from 1 species